CUGUGUUGGUCAAUGUUACUACAUCGGUCACUACGUUUAAAGAUAGCUAGCUACGCGACGAGGUAGGUUAUUUGUUAGCAAGCUCUAGUCAUUUAGGGUACGUUAUAACUAGCUAAAGAUACAUGAUGCACCUGUCACGAUAUGCAAGCAGGCAAGAUCAAUUUAUUUUUUAGCUUCAUAUACACUAUGUUGUCAAUAUUUUGAAAUGUAAACAAAAUAAUAAUUUGUCAUUGCCAUCUUCUAUGCAGUGGUGUAAAAAGUAGAAGCAUUUGUUCACCAGUUUUGGGAAGUUGCUAAGGAUGAGCUAAAUUACCUUAACAGAGUUCAUAAUUAACCAAGGACCUUUAUUGAUCAUUUACACUCUUAUUUUAUUGCUCACUGGUUAGUUUUGAACUCCCUUUACCUGGUUACUUAGAUCUUAAUGAGAUACUUCCCUAAAGAGGUCAACACAGCCAAAUCCAGUUAAGUACUUUUACUUUGUACUUUGUACACCUCUACAUCUAUGUGAUUGUUGUGAUCUUUCAUUAGAGUUGCCAAGAUGCGUUGUUGAGCUGGGGGAUGCUGUUGCCUGGGUAAAUGCCAACAUGGGCCUCUUCUGAGAACAGCCACCCCCGGCAUUCUUUCUUUUUCUGUUAACAGAUGUUGACCUGACCUCUACAUGAUGCACAUUGAAACUUGCCACCUUUCUGCAACAGGCUAUAGAAAAUUCUACACUUCAAGUUACCAAUUUCAACUUUCGAUAACAUUGCUGUUAAAUUGAACAGUGCAAGUCAUAGGAAGGAGAAACCAUUACAAUGAUUAUGAGAACUUGUCAGAUCUACACAGCAGAACCCACAGGUCUCAGCAAAAGACCUUCAGAACAGUUUAACUGACACUGAAGUUGUUGCUCACAGGUCCACCGCACAGUGUACCGUACAGAGCAUGUUCACAUUUGUGUAAUAUGUUGAAUCUAUGGAAAAUGCAUAAAUGGUAAUCCUGUAUAAAUGUGUGCAAAAGGGAGGCCUGUUUCACUUUGUAACAUGUAGAGCUCAGAUCAACUAUAUUGUAACUGCAAUAAGCAGCAUUCUCAACCAUCAAUCUCCUAAUGUUUGUCCUCUACUGUAUAACCAAGCAAUGGCUACCAUGGCAGGCAUAGUUUACCAUGGCAGGCAUAGUGUGUAUGGCUAUGCAUGUGUAUGUAUGCAUGUGUCUGUAUUAUAACUGCCCUCAGCAGCUUUCUAAACCACCAGUGUCUCAUUCUUGACUGUAACCAAAACCUUUAACUCUUUUAAGAGCCACUUCAGUCUUCAAAUUAAUAUAUUUCAGUUGUAUGUUACCAAACAAAUUUAAUCCUGAAAAAAAAUACAAUUAAAAAGCAUUGGAAAAUACCAUUUAAAUUUACAGAAUUGGUACAAGCAUAAUCAGACUACAGCGCUUUUUCAACAUGUAGUCAAAGCAAAU
ensembl:lncRNA